rnacentral:rRNA from 1 species
GUCCUUUUGUUUAUUUAUUUAAGGUCUGACCUGCCCAAUGAGGAAUUGAAUGGCCGCAGUAUUUUAACUGUGCUAAGGUAGCAUAAUCAUUUGUCUUUUAAUUGAGGGCUGGAAUGAAGGGUUGGACGAGGUAUUAACUUUCUUUGAUUUAAUGAGGAGAAUUUAAUUUUUGAGUUAAAAAGCUUAAAUUUAUUUGUGGGACGAGAAGACCCUAUAGAUCUUUAUAGUUUUAUAUUUUAAUAAUUUGGUGAUUUAUUUGUUUUAAGUAGAUGAACUAUUUUGUUGGGGUGACUGUAGAAUUUAARUAACUUCUAUUAUUUUAUUUCAUUAAUUAAUGUUUUUGUGAUCCAUAUUUUAUGAUUAUAAGAUUAAGUUACCUUAGGGAUAACAGCGUAAUUUCCUCGGAGAGUUCAUAUUGAUGGGGGAGUUUGCGACCUCGAUGUUGGAUUAAAAUAAGUUAUGGAUGCAGGAGUCUAUUUACUAGGUCUGUUCGACCUUUAAAUUUUU